ACCACAUACAUAUAAUAUAAUAUAAUAUAAUAUAAUAUAAUAUAAAUAUUUGUGUCAAUACCCAGCCCUAAUUCAAAUCCUGUAACAGUUUGUCAGUUAAUGCCUUUCUUUGUCACUUGAACUGCCCUGUUGUACUGUAGGAUAGUUGGUGAAAUAAUGGCAGUGAGCAUUACUCAGGAUGGCCCUCCACCCAACUCUUUCAUGGAGUGGAUAUACAAUUUAGUUUCUUCUGGGGAGAUUAAUAAAGAUCAGCUGACAAAGGCUGACAUAACAGAUGCAGACCUGCUAGAUCUAAUUGACAAGAUUGAGACCGCAGACACUACAGCCUUGCUUGACCUUUCUGAAAGAAUCGUAGCAUGUGGGUACACAGGACCCCUAACAUGUGAUCGAAAGGAAGACAUUGUCAGCAGAUGAGCAGAGGACUGGAACUCUGUGGCCUCCAUGAAACGGUGAAACAAAAUCAGCCGUUAUUUGUUUCUGGUCACUUUACAAAAAUUUUCUCAUGAUGGCCCUGACACCCAUUUUAAGUGAAGUGGCAGAGGGAAUCAAGAAUUGUGAACUACUUGCAGGACUUCAUUCAAAGCCUUGAAGAUGAAGAAGAAGGGAGCAGCAGUAAGGAGAACAGGGUUGAAGAUGACAACGAACAGGAGGAUAAAACAAACUGCACUAAAAGAGAUGCAGAACAAGACAAGAUCACCGCCAGCAGGUCAUGCAGUGGAUUACUGGUCAGGGGCACGUCCACAUUACUUCUGCACAAAGAGAAACACUUAAAAUACAUGUUGAAUUUGAUCAUGACUGUCAGCUUCGAUAUGGUCAGCACAGUUUAUGCGUCUCUCUAGUAAAUGCAUGUUCCUGUGCUGUGACCUUUCCUACACUCACCUAGAGACAAACACAGAGUUCACUGGCAUUAUGAGGCAGGCUGUGAGCAAUAGCAGAGAAUUUGGUCGUUAAUGAAUUGAUUCUUACUAUAGUUUAAUCACUAUACUGUGUACCCUCUGUUACGUCGUUAAUAAUAUGUUAAAAGAACAGGGGUGCAGUAGCUUUUGGAUAUUUGACUGUAGUUUAUUUUAUUUUUUUAUUUUUAUCAUUGACAUGUAUUACAACAGAAGCAGACAAGAUUGCUGCCAAAUUGUUCCAAACUCAAUUCAGACGUGAAAAAAUGUACAUCAAUGCACAGUAAGCUUCAAAGCAGAAUAAAUUCAUUAUGCUGUUCA